ensembl:lncRNA
UAAUUACGGGAAAAUAUUUAAACAGGAGGACAGGAUAAUCCCGGGAAAAACGGGAGGGUUGACAGGUAUGGACUCUACGGUGAAAUUGACCCAUAAAGCAAGACUAGUGUGCCGAUUAUUUUGGGCACCGCCGUUGGUCCACUCUUGUACGCGACAAUUAGGCCACAACGUUAACUCAUAACAGCACAUAAUCUCAGUCCUACCAUAACCAGUUGCCUUUGCGACUCAUAACCUUAAACUAAGAUAAGUAAACAAUUUUCGCAGGGGAAAACGCACUUAAAUACACCUGUGAUAAUUACAAGAUCAUUUUUGUUUAUCUUCAAAUCCAAAUUUAACUUCCCCGUCUCCCGUGCUGUUUACCUGAUGUCUGCCAAUAAAGGCUCAACUGAUGUCAGAUAAACACGAUGUCACAGUCACCUCAGAUACUUCGUCAACGGAAGAGAAGAUCUCCCUCACUGCAUGAAAACAAGAAAAUUGUGCCGCUCACUGUGAAGAACUCUGGUGUCAAAAUAGUUUAUUUAACUCUUUGGGCUUCUGACCUCGUAAAAAACAUUUUCACUAUCAGAGACUUUCAUGGAAAUAGAAUCAAGACUAUGAAGCAACUCCCUCUUGGACCAGGACAGGCAUAUACAAUCGAUGUCCAUUUCUACUCGGAGUAUGCAGGCUUCUAUGGACAGUUAUUGGUCUUUAAGUUUGAAACAAGGCUGCGGUCCUCAGAUCAUUUUGAGAUUAUGCGCCUGUUGGAAGUCAGACAUCGAACAUCUUUUGUUGAAGAGCCCGUCCCUACAGCCACAAACGCAUUGUGCUACAUUCACACUAAGGUGUGUGUGUGUGUGUGUGUGUGUGUGUGUGUGUGUGCGUUUGCGUGUGCGUGUGUGUUCGUGUGUGUGUGAUUACUUAUGAAAUCAUCCAAUACAGUAUUUUUGGUGAUUUAUUACUGAUUUGAGAAUCUUAAUAAUUUUCUCUCAUGGCCUUUUAUUUAUUUUUAGAAAUAAAUAACCACAAAAGUUUGAAUGUGAAAGAGUUUUAUAUGGUUUUCUGGUUUCUCCAUUCACUUGGAAUACUGUCACUCCUCCCAAUUUAAGUAAAGCAGAAUGCAAAUGUGUUGGUCACUGCUUUUAUUAGUCAUCUAAGUUAUUACUGUCCUGUGUUCUGUGUUUGGUUUUCCACUCCAGUGUUAGAUUGAGCUGGCUUUUGCCUGUUGUGCAUUUGAAGGGUUAUCCGAUGCCCGACAAUAUAAAACAGCUCAAGAAAUCCACCAUGUAUGUAUUUUCACGUACACACUCACAAUCAGGAGGUAAACAUAAUUUGUACCAAAUGUAAUGGUAAAUGUAUAUAGCGCUUUUUCCAAUCUUUGGGAUCAACAUUCACACAACAACAACAACAUUGGAUGCUUUAAACCAGGGGUGUCAAACAUACGGAACCGGCCCGCCAGAGGGUCCAAUCAGGCCCGCGGGAUGAUUUUGCAAAGUGUAAAAAUGACAGCGAAGACAUUAACUUCAAAUGUUCAAUACAAGUAAGCGCUAUUUGAAAUGUGUCCACUGGGGGUCGCACACAACACUGCCAAGCAAGCAAACUGUUCAUGCUGGAGCUGCCUGCAACAGAACCUUCUGGA